rnacentral:rRNA from 1 species
UUCCUACGGGAGGCAGCAGUGGGGAAUAUUGCACAAUGGGGGAAACCCUGAUGCAGCAACGCCGCGUGAGUGAAGAAGUAUUUCGGUAUGUAAAGCUCUAUCAGCAGGGAAGAAGAUGACGGUACCUGACCAAGAAGCCCCAGCUAACUACGUGCCAGCAGCCGCGGUAAUACGUAGGGGGCAAGCGUUAUCCGGAUUUACUGGGUGUAAAGGGAGCGUAGACGGCUAUGCAAGUCUGGAGUGAAAGGCGGGGGCCCAACCCCCGGACUGCUCUGGAAACUGUAGAGCUAGAGUGCAGGAGAGGG